AAAUUUAGGAAGAACAUGAAGGUUUUAGUGUUAUUUGCAAUGGUAUUGGCAGUGUUUCUCUUCUCCGCUCCUUAGAAAGAAAGACAAUGGAGAAGGAGGAAGAGUCAAGCCUAAGCAAUUUCAAAGCUAACAAAAAGGGCUCCUCAGGAUCCGCCUUGCAGGCUUUGGUGGCCCAGGGUUGGAAUGAAACCUUUAGAAGUUUACCCUAAACAAACUUACUGCAGGGCUUAUGCAUGCAAUUUGGUGCUUCUGAAUGAAGUCACACACUCGUGUUAAUGUUUGUGUUAAAAUACUGGAAAGUAUUUUCCUUUUCCUCAUAGGAAAUCUGUACCCAUGACCUGCAGUUUCUAACAGUUGGUACAUCAGAACAGUAGUUCUGCCAGCCCUCUGUCCAAGAGCAUACAAAGUAUAUCUUUGCAGGCCUCUAUCUUGGCUUCAGCCCAUCUCAAAUUCUCUCCUCAGGUACUAAGUCUCCAUUAACUCUUCCUUAGCCUUUGAUGACUGUGAAGCUGGUUUUAUUUUGCCUUAAGACAAAAUGAAGUUGGAUCAGAAAAGAAAAGCUAAGCUACAUUUCCAGGAAAAGACAAAGUCCUGGCUCUUCUCCAAGUUAUCCAUAGGCUGCUUCAGAGUAAGAUCAGAAAGCAGUCCCUCUCCGACAGCUGGGACACUUUCUAAGAAGAGAGGAAUUGAACGCAACACAUCACAGAGCUGGUGUUAUCGCCCUGCAGACAAGCAAGGAGGCACAUGGCCUUGGAGAGGCAUGUGCAGUCCUAAGUCAAGGUGCAGAUAACAGCAGAAUUCACAGGAUUUAAGACUCUUGCUCUAGUGAAGCACAACUGAACAUUUGCGAGGAGCCACUCUCCAUUUCUGGGACUGAUGGUGACUGUGAAGCUGGAUGGUUGUGGAAAACCCUGCAAUUUCAUCCCUAGCAUGUUAGGAGACUCUGCUUCAUGUUGCAGUUGGUGUAGUCAAGAAGAAAAAUUCCCUUGGAUUUGGGAAUUUUUCAAGAGUUGUUAUUCAGUUAGGAGCUGGUAACUAUGGUUUCAGACGUUUCCUCUCAGGGAUACUGCUCACGGAUGAAGGGAGGCCUGGUUUUGCAUCAUGAAGCAAGAGACUACAGGGUUGUGUGUUUAUGAAUGUAAACUCUAAGAUUUCAGGGAGGGGGUUAAAUAAAAACAUGCACAAAUCUACCUGUAAGUAACCAUCACAGGAAAUGUAAGGACUUGUCUGAGAAGUGGAGCUUCUUUGAACAUAGGCAGACAGCAGCUCACACGCACAGGGCAAACAGGCCAAGGAAAGAGAGAAUUAUCUUCCCCUGUAAGCCCACAAGCCAAAACACAGCUGGUAGCACUAACAUUAGUCCUGUCAAGCCUGGCAGUCUUCAGUUAUUAUGCACCCUGCAAAUAAUUAUACAUAUACUUAAGCUUACAGCCCAGAAGCUGCAGUCAGUAGCUGGCAGGGAUACAGUUCCUUGCUGGUAUAGAUCCUUUGACCUCAUUAGACUCACAUCAGGACUUAAUCUGGUCCUUUGUAUUUCAGAAUAAAUCAUGGGUCUUUUCCAUCUCUGCAUCUCAGACAUAAAGGUUGCUCCUCCUUCAGCUGUCAUCACGACCUGACUUUGGUUUUGUUUCAUGCUCCUGCCUGGCUUUCCUUACAGUCUGUGUGGAGUUCUCCUUACAAUUACAGCAACUUCCCCAGAGGGCUUAAAUUGUGACUCGUUUCCCACAGUUUGAAAAGCUGCUUUCCGUGUUGUGAGAAUUCAAGCAAACGCACCCUCUCCCCACCAUGCAUUAUUAGACGUUAAACAUGAGCCAUCCCAUGGUGGAGGAAUGAA